CCUACGGGUGGCAGCAGUGGGGAAUAUUGGGCAAUGGGCGCAAGCCUGACCCAGCAACGCCGCGUGAAGGAAGACGGCUUUCGGGUUGUAAACCUCUUUUGUCAAGGGACAAAAUCAGGCUCGAUAUCCUGACCUAGGGUACUUGAAGAAAAAGCAUCGGCUAAUUCCGUGCCCGCAGCCGCGGUAAUACGGGGGAUGCGAGCGUUAUCCGGUUUUAUUGGGUUUAAAGGGUGCGUAGGGGGGUUGUUAAGUCAGCGGUAAAAGCCGGGGGCCAAACCCCGGAGAGCCGUUGAAACUGGCUGUCUUGAGAUGUGGAGAGGUAUGCGGAAUGCGCAGUGUAGCGGUGAAAUGCUUAGAUAGUGCGAAGAACUCCGAUUGCGAAGGCAGCAUACCGGCGGCGAUCUGACGCUGAGGCACGAAAGCGUGGGUAUCGAACAGGAUUAGAUACCCUUGUAGUC
rnacentral:rRNA from 1 species